UAGGGAAUCUUCGGCAAUGGACGGAAGUCUGACCGAGCAACGCCGCGUGAGUGAAGAAGGUGUUCGGAUCGUAAAGCUCUGUUGUUAGAGAAGAACGUUGGUAGGAGUGGAAAAUCUACCAAGUGACGGUAACUAACCAGAAAGGGACGGCUAACUACGUGCCAGCAGCCGCGGUAAUACGUAGGUCCCGAGCGUUGUCCGGAUUUAUUGGGCGUAAAGCGAGCGCAGGCGGUUCUUUAAGUCUGAAGUUAAAGGCAGUGGCUUAACCAUUGUACGCUUUGACAACUGGAGGACUUUGGUGCAGAAGGGGAGAGUGGAAUUCCAUGUGUAGCGGUGAAAUGCGUAGAUAUAUGGAGGACCACCGGUGGCGAAAGCGGCUCUCUGGUCUGUAACCGACGCUGAGGCUCGAAAGCGUGGGGAGCAAACAGG
rnacentral:rRNA from 1 species